rnacentral:rRNA from 1 species
GAUGAACGCUGGCGGCGUGCCUAAUACAUGCAAGUCGAGCGAACAGAUGAGGAGCUUGCUCCUCUGACGUUAGCGGCGGACGGGUGAGUAACACGUGGAUAACCUACCUAUAAGACUGGGAUAACUUCGGGAAACCGGAGCUAAUACCGGAUAAUAUAUUGAACCGCAUGGUUCAAUAGUGAAAGACGGUUUUGCUGUCACUUAUAGAUGGAUCCGCGCCGCAUUAGCUAGUUGGUAGGGUAACGGCUUACCAAGGCAACGAUGCGUAGCCGACCUGAGGGGGUGGUCGGCCACACUGGAACUGAGACGCGGGCCAGACUCCUACGGGAGGCAGCAGUAGGGAAUCUUCCGCAAUGGGCGAAAGCCUGACGGAGCAACGCCGCGUGAGUGAUGAAGGUCUUCGGAUCGUAAAACUCUGUUAUUAGGGAAGAACAAAUGUGUAAGUAACUAUGCGCGGCUUGACGGUACCUAAUCAGAAAGCCACGGCUAACUACGUG